rnacentral:rRNA from 1 species
CACGUAGGGUGCGAGCGUUGUCCGGAAUUAUUGGGCGUAAAGAGCUCGUAGGCGGUGUGUCGCGUCGGCCGUGAAAACCUGGGGCUUAACUCUGGGCGUGCGGUCGAUACGGGCAUCACUAGAGUUCGGCAGGGGAGACUGGAAUUCCUGGUGUAGCGGUGAAAUGCGCAGAUAUCAGGAGGAACACCGGUGGCGAAGGCGGCGACCUGGGUAGAUACUGACGCUGAGGCGCGAAAGCGUGGGGAGCAAACAGG